CCACCACCAACAAUAAACCAAUUCUCCCCAACUGUCACACCUGCAUGUCCAGCCCGUGGACUUGGUAUUUCCCCCUGUUGUGUUGGUCUUGUCCAUUCCAUAGCUUGUAAAUCGAGCACAUGCAGAUCAUUGAAACAAGUAGCAUGUGAACCACCGCCGAAAAUAAGAAGGUAGCGCUCUGCAUGAACUGCGGCAGCAUGAUCAGACCUUGGAGAAGGAGGAACACCAACAGCAUCAAUUUCGUCCCAAG
rnacentral:misc_RNA from 1 species